rnacentral:rRNA from 1 species
AGCAGCCGCGGUAAUUCCAGCUCCAAUAGCGUAUAUUAAAGUUGUUGCAGUUAAAAAGCUCGUAGUUGAACUUCGGGAUUUGCCCAUUGGUCAGGCUUAACUGUCUGCACUGGUGUGACGAGUUCCUACCUUCUGAGGAAUCUCCAUGUCAUUCAGUUGGUGUGGGGGGAAAUCAGGACUGUUACUUUGAAAAAAUUAGAGUGUUUAAAGCAGGCGUCCGUCUGAAUACAUUAGCAUGGAAUAAUAAAAUAGGACGGUUUGGUUCUAUUUUGUUGGUUUCUAGGAUCACCGUAAUGAUUAAUAGGGAUAGUUGGGGGCAUUAGUAUUCAAUUGUCAGAGGUGAAAUUCUUGGAUUUAUUGAAGACUAACUACUGCGAAAGCAUUUGCCAAGGAUGUUUUCAUUAAUCAAGAACGAAAGUUAGGGGAUCGAAGACGAUCAGAUACCGUCGUAGUCUUAACCAUAAACUAUGCCGACUAGGGAUCGGACGAAGUAAUUUUUAAUGACUCGUUCGGCACCUUA